rnacentral:rRNA from 1 species
UACGUAGGGUGCGAGCGUUGUCCGGAAUUAUUGGGCGUAAAGAGCUCGUAGGCGGCUCGUUGCGUCAACCGUGAAAACCCGGGGCUUAACUUCGGGCUUGCGGUUGAUACGGGCGGGCUGGAGUUCGGUAGGGGAGACUGGAAUUCCUGGUGUAGCGGUGAAAUGCGUAGAGAUCGGCAGGAACACCCAGGGGGAAACCAGCCGACUGGGCAAGUGCUGACGCUGAGGUGCGAGAGCGUGGGGAGCGAACCGG